GAUAACAUUUGGAAACAAGUGCUAAUACCGCAUAACAACUGCUUUCACAUGAUCGCAGCUUGAAAGAUGGCUCUGCUAUCGCUUUUGGAUGGACCCGCGGCGUAUUAGCUAGUUGGUGAGGUAAUAGCUCACCAAGGCAAUGAUACGUAGCCGACCUGAGAGGGUAAUCGGCCACAUUGGGACUGAGACACGGCCCAAACUCCUACGGGAGGCAGCAGUAGGGAAUCUUCCACAAUGGGCGAAAGCCUGAUGGAGCAAUGCCGCGUGAGUGAAGAAGGUUUUCGGAUCGUAAAACUCUGUUGUUGAAGAAGAACAUGCGUGAGAGUAACUGUUCACGUACUGACGGUAUUCAACCAGAAAGCCACGGCUAACUACGUGCCAGCAGCCGCGGUAAUACGUAGGUGGCAAGCGUUGUCCGGAUUUAUUGG
rnacentral:rRNA from 1 species